CGCUGGCGGCGUGCCUAACACAUGCAAGUCGAGCGGAGACAGUGAGUAGCUUGCUAUGAGCUGUUUUAGCGGCGGACGGGUGAGUAACGCGUGAGCAACCUUUCCCAGACAGGGGAAUAACACACCGAAAGGUGUACUAAUACCGCAUAAGACCACGGGAUCACAUGGUUCUGGGGUAAAAGCUUUUGCGCUGAAGGAUGGGCUCGCGUCUGAUUAGAUAGUUGGUGGGGUAAUGGCCUACCAAGUCGACGAUCAGUAGCCGGACUGAGAGGUUGAACGGCCACAUUGGGACUGAGACACGGCCCAGACUCCUACGGGAGGCAGCAGUGGGGGAUAUUGGACAAUGGGGGCAACCCUGAUCCAGCGACGCCGCGUGAGGGAAGAAGGUUUUCGGAUUGUAAACCUCUGUUGACGGAGAAAAAAUGAUGGUAUCCGUUUAGAAAGCCACGGCUAACUACGUG
rnacentral:rRNA from 1 species